rnacentral:lncRNA from 1 species
GAGUGGGAAGAAACAAUUAAUAUAAAGCACAAAUGCAACACGAUGCAUGACAUGGCAAUAUGCAUGGACACGCAUUGACUAACGCAGUAUUAGUCGUCUUGGACGGAUCGGGAAAAUAUCUGACGAUAUAUUUCGGGUCUCAGACUACUAUGAGACAAGCGAAAACGAUGGAAAAUUUUCAUGUUCGUUAUGCUAGGGAUGCGUGACACACGAACGGUUUGCGUAUCCGGGUUUGUCUCAAUUUUCUAAUCAACUUUCUUGUACAAAAUAUUUUCAUAUGGAUUACGGAUUAUUUAAUAUUAAUUUUUGAAGUUUUAUUUAUAUUCAGAAAUUAAAUAGAUUUAUUUUCAUUCAUUAAAUAGUUAUGACAUCAGCAUGAUGUCAUGCUGACAUCAGUAGUCAAGAGUCUUAGUUGACUUGUCAAAUCUGACCAAUGGGCCCCACC